CCGCCCGCCGCCGCCAGCCCACCUGGUCUCCUCCUCGGCUUCCUCACCGAGCCAACCACCAUCCAUCCCGAACCACCUCCCUCCAACCAACCUCCGACCACCUCCCUGGUUUUCCGCGUGGCCCAAAUCGCAGCAGCCAACAACAUCCUCCUACCCGAGCAAGCACGACCAUGGCCACGCCCACCGAAGCUCUGCACCACCCCAAGCUACUCUGCCUCCGGUGUCGUCGCGCUCAUCCCGGCCUCCUCUACGCCCGGAGCUCUCCUAGCCGUGCGUCUCCUCCUCGUUCCCAGCAAAGCCCCGUCCUCCCGAGCUCUCCCGCAGGCAGCCCCGUGCCCGAUCCAGGCGGGAUCGAGGCGACCACCUCGUGCACGCCGAGUCCAAUCGUCGGACCAGCUCCACCACCAGGCGGCACCUCUCCUUCUAUUUUCCUUCUUCCCCUGGUGCUUCUCUCCCUCUUUAAUCUGCCCGCUGUUGUUCUAAUUCUCUGUUGCCUCUGUGGUUUGCAGAGGCCGAAGCCGACGCCACCAUGCAAGCCUUCCUCAAGCUCCACCCGCACCGGAUCCACGUCCUCCGGUUUUCCCCAUGUAACCUCCGUCCUCUGCUUCGAACCAGGACCCGACGAGGGCCUCGCCGUACCCGUUGACCGCUCGAUCUCCUCUGCUUCGGCAUCGAUCCAGAGACGAACGCCGCGCACCGCCUGCUGGCGUUGACCGCGCCCAGGCCCAGCUGCUUCCCCAUCGAGCGAGCGCCCGCCUCGUCCAGCCUCCCCGUUGACCGGUCGCACCUCGUGGCCCAGCUCCAGCCACUUCCGCACCGCACCAGGCCCGGAUCUGCCAGCUCUCUGAAGCCCAAUGUGAGCAGCCCAGUUGCACCAGAUUCGGCAUGUGUAGUUUUUUUCCCCAGAUCUGCGAAUUUAGCUUUUAUCCCAGGAUUUACUGUUUUGCAGAAAAGUCCCCCUAGUUCAUGCAUUUAAUAACUCACAAUUGGUGCAUCGGAUUAAAAUGUUUCAUAUAUGAAACUUGCUUAGAAUUUUGUAUAGAUUCAUAAUAUGAAACUUUCACCCAUGUUUAAAAUGUUUAAAAUGUUGUUUGAGUAAAUUUGCUCCUAUGCCAUGUUAAAAUGAUUUAAUUCAUAACUAAAUAAUCGUAACUCUGAAUUUAAUAAACUUUAUAUGUAAAUGGGGUAGAAUUUUGCCUAGUUUAACAUGGUGGCAUAAUCUUGCAUGUUUAAUAACCAUAAAAUAUGGUUUAGGGCAGAACAGGACCAAACCUAAAAUAUGCACAUGAGGAGUUUCCGGAUUUGUUGUUCGUUGCUUCCGGCCUCAUUUAACCUUGACUAGAUAGGUAGUUUUCAUUUGCUUCACCCUCUUGCCAUGCUUAACAACAUUUAAUAUUGUUGGGUACAUAAACGGGAUCAAACUAAAUAACUUAUCGUGGUGUUUCGUCAAUAUGCAACUCGUUGCAUAUUGAGCUCCAUUUAAUUUGUAGGAUUGUUUGUGCACUUUGCCAUGCCAUGCCUCAUUAAACCGGACAUGCAUCAUACUUGUUUGCGCAUCAUGCCAUGUCUAUGUGAUGGUUGUUUACCAUGUUGUUUGCUUCUUUCCGGUGUUGCUUCUUCGGGUUGGUUCCGAUAAUGUUGUGUUUGUGAGGACCCGUUCGACUACGUUCGUUUGUCUUUUUCAUGGACUCGUUCUUCUUCCUUGCGGGAUUUCAGGUGCCGAUGAGUCCGUGCAGAUGACGCAACCAAGCUCAGGAGGAGCUCGAUGAAGAUCUUGCCCUUUGUUUUCGUUCUAGUUGAUCAGUAGUGGAGCCCAGUUGGGGUCGAUCGGGGACCUUUGUCGCAUUUGGGGUUCUUCUUUUAUUUUGGUUCCGUAGUCGGACCCUGUUUGUAUUUGGUU
rnacentral:rRNA from 1 species